rnacentral:lncRNA from 1 species
GGCUGCCUGGGCUGCUGCUAGUUUGUGGGUCGGCCAGCCAUUCAGUUUGUAGACCGCCGCAGCGCGCGUAUAAAUAAAUAUUUACAACUCGUUUGCCGCAGCCAAAGGCAAACCCUGCGACAGCGAACGAAAUGGAGUUGGAGACGUAGACGUGGGCAUUGGCCGUAGCCCGUUUGCCUGUAUCCUGAGCUGCGGCUAUGGCUGGUGUUGAAGCGUUCAAGGACCUGCCCACCAGGUAAGCUGCGACUCGCUUGAACACCUUUCGCGGCUGCUGGCUUUGGCUGUUGCUCCAGCUCCUGC